rnacentral:rRNA from 1 species
GUCUUGAAACACGGACAAAGGGAUCUAGCAUGUGCGCGAUCUUGGAAAUAACUAAACCUAAAGGCGCAAUGAAAGUGAAGGUCCGCCUCGCGCGGACCGAGGGAAGAUGGGCGACCGGGCCUAACACGCCCGCCGUCCCGCACUCCCGGGGCGUCUCGUUCUCAUUGCGAGAAGAGGCGCACCAAGAGCGUACACGCUGGGACCCGAAAGAUGGUGAACUAUGCCUGGUCAGGACGAAGUCAGGGGAAACCCUGAUGGAGGUCCGUAGCGAUUCUGACGUGCAAAUCGAUCGUCGGAACUGGGUAUAGGGGCGAAAGACUAAUCGAACCAUCUAGUAGCUGGUUCCCUCCGAAGUUUCCCUCAGGAUAGCUGGCGCUCGUCGCACACGAGUCUCAUCCGGUAAAGCGAAUGAUUAGAGGCAUUGGGGUCGAAACGGCCUCAACCUAUUCUCAAACUUUAAAUGGGUGAGAUCUCCGGCUUGCUCGAACUACUGAAGCCGCGAGACACGGAUCAGAGUGCCAAGUGGGCCAUUUUUGGUAAGCAGAACUGGCGCUGUGGGAUGAACCAAACGUCGAGUUAAAGCGCCUAAAUCGACGCUUAUGGGAUACCAUGAAAGGCGUUGGUAACUUAAGACAGCAGGACGGUGGCCAUGGAAGUCGGAAUCCGCUAAGGAGUGAUGU